rnacentral:rRNA from 1 species
UACGUAGGGUGCGAGCGUUGUCCGGAAUUAUUGGGCGUAAAGGGCUCGUAGGCGGUCUGUCACGUCGGGAGUGAAAACUCAGGGCUUAACCCUGAGCCUGCUUCCGAUACGGGCUGACUAGAGGUAUGCAGGGGAGAACGGAAUUCCUGGUGUAGCGGUGAAAUGCGUAGAUAUCAGGAGGAACGCCGAUGGCGAAGGCAGGUCUCUGGGCUGACACUGACGCUCAUGCACGAAAGCGUGGGGAGCAAACAGG